AUACUCCUGACUGACCGAUAGUGAACCAGUACCGUGAGGGAAAGGCGAAAAGAACCCCGGCGAGGGGAGUGAAAAAGAACCUGAAACCGUGUACGUACAAGCAGUGGGAGCCUCUUUAUGGGGUGACUGCGUACCUUUUGUAUAAUGGGUCAGCGACUUAUAUUCUGUAGCAAGGUUAACCGUAUAGGGGAGCCGAAGGGAAACCGAGUCUUAACUGGGCGUUAAGUUGCAGG
rnacentral:rRNA from 1 species